UCCGACCAAAUAUCCUUGAACGCCUGCCU
rnacentral:piRNA from 1 species